rnacentral:rRNA from 1 species
GACGAACCGUGCGAACGUUGUUCGGAAUCACUGGGCUUAAAGGGCGCGUAGGCGGGCUACCAAGUCUGGGGUGAAAUCCCACGGCUCAACCGUGGAACUGCCUCGGAUACUGGCGGCCUCGAGGGAGGUAGGGCGUGCGGAACUGUGGGUGGAGCGGUGAAAUGCGCAGAUAUCAGGAGGAACACCGGUGGCGAAGGCGGAUCUCUGGGCCAUUACUGACGCUGAGAAGCGAAAGCAUGGGGAGCGAACAGG